UCGAAUGUAGCAAUACAUAGCGAACUGCUCAGUAACACGUGGACAACCUGCCCUUAGGACGGGGAUAAACCCGGGAAACUGGGUAUAAUACCCGAUAGGUCUCGAUUGCUGGAAUGCAUCGAGAUUUAAAGCUCCGGCGCCUAAGGAUGGGUCUGCGGCCUAUCAGGUAGUAGUGGGUGUAGCGUACCUACUAGCCUACGACGGGUACGGGUUGUGAGAGCAAGAGCCCGGAGAUGGAUUCUGAGACACGAAUCCAGGCCCUACGGGGUGCAGCAGGCGCGAAAACUUUACAAUGCUGGCAACAGCGAUAAGGGAACCUCGAGUGCCAGGUUACAAAUCUGGCUGUCGAGAUGCCUAAAAAGCAUUUCAUAGCAAGGGCCGGGCAAGACCGGUGCCAGCCGCCGCGGUAACACCGGCGGCUCGAGUGGUAACCGUUAUUAUUGGGUCUAAAGGGUCUGUAGCCGGCCGGAUAAGUCUCUUGAGAAAUCUGGCAGCUUAACUGUCAGGCUUUCAGGAGAUACUGUCUGGCUCGAGGCCGGGAGAGGUGAGAGGUACUUCAGGGGUAGGGGUGAAAUCUUGUAAUCCUUGAAGGACCACCAGUGGCGAAGGCGUCUCACCAGAACGGACCUGACGGCAAGGGACGAAAGCUAGGGGCACGAACCGGAUUAGAUACCCGGGUAGUCCUAGCCGUAAACGAUACUCGCUAGGUGUCGGCCACGGUGCGACCGUUGUCGGUGCCGUAGGGAAGCCGUGAAGCGAGCCACCUGGGAAGUACGGCCGCAAGGCUGAAACUUAA
rnacentral:rRNA from 1 species